rnacentral:tmRNA from 1 species
GGGGGCGAAAUGGAUUCGACGGCGGAUACAAAGUCUCAGGUGCAUGCCGAGAGAGAAGCAGCUCUCGUAAAUCAAUUGUUUCAAUUUCUCAAUAGUUGCCAACGACGACAACUACGCUCUAGCGGCUUAAGAGCACGCUAGUCCUGUCCAUCCGAAUGCCCGUAUAGGGUGGACGGGAUCAUACUUACGGGAUCGCCCAGUACGUUGGUCCGAACGUGUUGUGGCUAAAGAUCUGGACUCGCUUGGUGGAACCCUGUCUUGUCGGGUCACCGCUAGGCUAAAGCAAAGGCAAGAAUAAGCAUGUAGAGCCAAGGAUGGAGUACUGUCGGACGCGGGUUCGAUUCCCGCCGCCUCCACCA